rnacentral:rRNA from 1 species
CGAUCCCGGGACUUCGGUCCCAAUGGGAGAGUGGCGAACGGGUGCGUAACACGUGAGAAACCUGUCCCGAAGAUGGGAAUAGCCCAGGGAAACCUGGAUUAAUGCCCAAUACCCUGAGAGCGCCGCAUGGCGCAUUCAGGAAAGGUUCCGGCGCUUUGGGAGGGUCUCGCGGCCUAUCAGCUUGUUGGUGAGGUAAAGGCUCACCAAGGCAUCGACGGGUAGCUGGUCUGAGAGGACGAUCAGCCACACUGGGACUGAGACACGGCCCAGACUCCUACGGGAGGCAGCAGUAGGGAAUCUUGCGCAAUGGGCGAAAGCCUGACGCAGCAACGCCGCGUGGGGGAAGAAGGCCCUCGGGUCGUAAACCCCUUUCAGCAGGGACGAAAUUGACGGCACCUGCAGAAGAAGCUCCGGCCAACUACGUGCCAGCAGCCGCGGUAACACGUAGGGAGCAAGCGUUGUCCGGAUUUAUUGGGCGUAAAGAGCUCGUAGGCGGUUCAGUCAGUCGGGUGUGAAAACUUGAGGCUCAACCUCAAGAGGCCACUCGAUACUGCUGUGACUAGAGUCCGGUAGAGGAGUGUGGAAUUCCUGGUGUAGCGGUGAAAUGCGCAGAUAUCAGGAGGAACACCGACAGCGAAGGCAGCACUCUGGGCCGGUACUGACGCUGAGGAGCGAAAGCAUGGGGAGCAAACAGGAUUAGAUACCCUGGUAGUCCAUGCCGUAAACGUUGGGCACUAGGUGUGGGGUCUCGCUAACAGAUUC